rnacentral:rRNA from 1 species
CCUACGGGAGGCUGCAGUAAGGAAUAUUGGACAAUGGUCGCAAGACUGAUCCAGCCAUGCCGCGUGCAGGAUGACAGCCCUAUGGGUCGUAAACUGCUUUUGUGCGAGAAAAAACCCCUCUACGUGUAGAGGGCUGAUUGUAUCGUAAGAAUAAGGAUCGGCUAACUCCGUGCCAGCAGCCGCGGUAAUACGGAGGAUCCAAGCGUUAUCCGGAUUCAUUGGGUUUAAAGGGUGCGUAGGCGGAAUGAUAAGUCAGUGGUGAAAGCCUGCAGCUUAACUGCAGAACUGCCAUUGAUACUGUCAAUCUUGAGUACAUUUGAUGUGGGCGGAAUGUGUCAUGUAGCGGUGAAAUGCUUAGAUAUGACACAGAACACCGAUUGCGAAGGCAGCUCACAAAACUGUAACUGACGCUGAGGCACGAAAGCGUGGGUAUCAAACAG